ensembl:snRNA U6 U6 spliceosomal RNA
AUGCUCACUUGAACAGCACAAAUACUAAAAUUGGAAUGAUACAGAGAAGAUUAGCAUGCCUAAAAAAGACACACGUUCCUGAAGUGUUCCAUUUUUUU